CAGCCGCCGCGGUAAUACCGAGGGUGCGAGCGUUAAUCGGAUUUACUGGGCGUAAAGCGUGCGUAGGCGGCUUCUUAAGUCGGAUGUGAAAUCCCUGAGCUUAACUUAGGAAUUGCAUUCGAUACUGGGAAGCUAGAGUAUGGGAGAGGAUGGUAGAAUUCCAGGUGUAGCGGUGAAAUGCGUAGAGAUCUGGAGGAAUACCGAUGGCGAAGGCAGCCAUCUGGCCUAAUACUGACGCUGAGGUACGAAAGCAUGGGGAGCAAACAGGAUUAGAUACCCGUGUAGUCCCUGUCUCUUAUAA
rnacentral:rRNA from 1 species